rnacentral:misc_RNA from 1 species
GUUGUGAACGAAGAGGAAAACAUGGCUACAAUACAGCAAACCCGACGUAAUAUGCAUGAGUUACCUAUUGAUCGGCUUCCCAUUGUGAAUUGUUGGGAAGGUCCAUCAGAAUGGGAACUGGAUUCUUCAGACAUGAAUACAGAGUCAACCGAAAGACCAUUACGUCAUGGUUGUGACGAUUUAUGGUCGUGGAGUUUAUGGGAAAAAAGUCCAGAAGUAAAAUUAUACGGUAGUUACCUUAGAAUAGCCCAUUUUCACCCUAACUGGAGUAAUGGUACAGCGGGGGUUAUGGGCACAAGGAUUUUAAACAACGGUAGGUAUUUCUGGGAACUAGAAAUUUCCCGAAGAUUAUUCGGGACUAGCAUGAUGAUGGGUAUUGGGACAAAAAAGACACGUCUCCAUGCAGGAGGCUUUAUAAACAUCUUAGGGGAAGAUAACAACAGUUGGGGGUUGUCACAUAAAGGACUCCUUUGGCACGGAGGACGAUCGUAUUUUUAUACGAAACCUUUCAGAGAAAACAGAAGAACAAUCAUAGGCGUACUUUUUGACGGGAUUGCAGGAACUUUGACCUAUUACAAAGACGGUAAAUGUUUAGGGGUAGCCUUCAGGGGUUUGAACGAGAUUGAAGAACCAUUGUAUCCUGCCGUUUCUUCAACUGCGGCGAAAACAGAGAUGUCCUUAGUUACAAUGAAAAGGGAUUUUGUGAAUUUACAGGACAGGUGCAGGGACGUUAUAGUAAAACGAAUCAAGGACAAAAAACACCUGAAACAACUGUAUGUACCACCCAAAAUACGACAUUAUUUAAGUGAAUCGAUAUUAGAAGAAUCGCAAUCUUUACAAUUGGUAAUAGAAAACGGUUUGAGUACCGUUUGAUUUAGGUAACGUUUUAGUCGCAACAUAUCUCAUUCAAAAUCUAAAACGUCAUGUUUUUGUCUACGUACUCUUAUCUGUUUUGUUGAAUAAAAUGUGGUUGGCAAUUCUUGCAAUCGCUAUAUCAGUAAACUAUUGCUAGUUAAUUAAUGUAAUGCACCAGGACCAAUAUGAAAACUUAUUCAAAUCGAAAUUACUAGGAGGGAAAUGUGUAGAAAUCAGAACCAGUGCAAAAUUGUAAAGGUUUUUUAUUAGUUUUAAAACUAAUGUUUCAAAUUCAGAUGUAAUUUUUUAACAAUUAAAUAUCUUUUUCACUAAAACAUAACUUGGAAACGUUUACACUUGAAGACAUGAAAAUUAUAAAUUUAACAUAAAAAACUCUUAUACCUACUCCAAUUUCUAAAUAUAUUAGUUAUUAAAUACUUUAUUGAAUUUAAAUUAUUCUUUGUUCAGUAAUAUACCAGAAUUUUGUCUAAUUAGUAAAAGGUAGAAAGAAUCUUGCCCAAAAAUUAUUGAAUCGCAAAUCAUUUAAAAUGAUUAUGCAUAUAUUUCAGUUUUUUACGUGUUUAAUGGCCAAUAUUUAAAUUACAACCUUUUUUCAUACGAUUUAUCAAUAUAUAAUAGAAUUUUAUAAUUCCUCAUAUCUUAAAUUUUUAAUUAUUAUGGGGAGUCAUGAUUCUCAGGACCUCCAGCGUAUUGACGUCUAGGAUAUAAAUAAUUUUACAUUCAUGAUCUCAUUUUAAUGUAAAUUUAACAGACUUAACUGUAUCGUUUGCAUAAUUAUAAAGUUUUAAAAAAUUUUAAUUAAAUAUUGGAUAUUAUGGGUAGGAUUCUAAACCGAGGACAACAAGCUGGACUAUGUUUAUCCAUAAAUAGCACAAAAACUGCCCGUAUUAUCUCCUUUAAUUACGUAUAAUUCGUAAACCAGAUGUAAGAUAUUUUUGGUCUUAAAAAUUCCACUGAUUUGAUAAAGGCGAGGACAAGUGAAAAGAAGAUUUAUUACUAUAACAAUGUAUUUGUCUUGUGCGUUUAAAUAUUCGUUAUCUCUAUUUUUGUAUACAUAAACUGAAAAUAUGUAUAUUAUUGUGUAUUUCGUGUUAUUAAUAUUAAUAGGUAUGCAUGUAACUAAUUUGUUAUUAACAGCGCAACGACGAACACUAUGUUUGGUUGCAAAAUUAUUUUGCACUAAAAGUUAUGUUUUAAUUAAACAUUGUGUCUGUUGUUGUGUUGUUAAUUAAUGUGGAGUUAAAAAAAAAGUAAAAAGCUUCAUCGAUUCGUUUCUUAAUUUGUUAUUGUUUUAUUUAAAGUGAAGGUGACCUAUGGAGUACCAUUAUUUGUGUAUAUUAGAAUGUGAUGAAAAAUUUUGUACUUGCAUUAAAAAGGUGUAGUUGCAAAUAUAAUAAUGUAUCAUUAUAUGUAUUAAAUUGUAGAUUUGCCAUUAGCUUCUUUCUAUUAACUAAUAAAAUGUUGUAUUACCGAUACUUAAACUUAAAAUUAGUAAAACUUAUUUUUGUGAUGUUUUUAUAAGCCGUGGAUUAAAAAAGUGCCAUAUUAUUGAAUUAUACAUUUAAAUUUUUAUUUCUUAUUACAUUUUGAUCGACAACAAUCUUUAAUGAAGUAAUAUCUUACGUACCUAAAAUAAGUUAAUUUCUCAACAAAAAUUAUUUUUAACAAUAGCACAAGGCACUAAUAGUGUGCAAAGAAAGAAGUGCAACUUGUUCUGCAUUUUUUUUAUGAAAAUGUACAUAUACUUACUUAUUAUUACCUA